ACCAAAGGCACCUAGGACACAUCUCACUGAGGGAAAAAUAAGGACUUGGGAAGUCAAUUCCCAGGCCACCAUUAUAUGGUAAGACAGUGAACUGA
rnacentral:lncRNA from 1 species